UUGAACGCUGGCGGCAGGCCUAACACAUGCAAGUCGAGCGGAUGAAGGGAGCUUGCUCCUGGCUUCAGCGGCGGACAGGUGAGUAAUGCCUAGGAAUCUGCCUGGUAGUGGGGGAUAACGUCCGGAAACGGGCGCUAAUACCGCAUACGUCCUGAGGGAGAAAGUGGGGGAUCUUCGGACCUCACGCUAUCAGAUGAGCCUAGGUCGGAUUAGCUAGUUGGUGGGGUAAAGGCCUACCAAGGCGACGAUCCGUAACUGGUCUGAGAGGAUGAUCAGUCACAAUGGAACUGAGACACGGUCCAGACUCCUACGGGAGGCAGCAGUGGGGAAUAUUGGACAAUGGGCGGAAGCCUGAUCCAGCCAUGCCGCGUGUGUGAAGAAGGUCUUCGGAUUGUAAAGCACUUUAAGUUGGGAGGAAGGGCAGUAAGUUAAUACCUUGCUGUUUUGACGUUACCAACAGAAGAAGCACCGGCUAACUUCGUG
rnacentral:rRNA from 1 species